rnacentral:rRNA from 1 species
UACGGAGGGUGCGAGCGUUGUCCGGAAUCAUUGGGCGUAAAGGGCGCGUAGGUGGCCACUUCAAGCGUGCGGUGAAAGUCGGGGGCUCAACCCCUGAUCGGCCGUGCGAACUGGGGGGCUGGAGCACUGUAGAGGCAGGCGGAAUUCCGGGUGUAGCGGUGGAAUGCGUAGAGAUCCGGAAGAACACCGGUGGCGAAGGCGGUCUGCUGGGGUAAUGCUGACACUGAUGCGCGACAGCGUGGGGAGCAACAG